GUGCUUACUUCAGUAUCACAUAUACAAAAAUUAAAAUGAUACAGAGAAGAUUAGAAUAGCCCUGGCACAAGGAAGACAUGAAAAUUCAUGACACAUUCUGUAUUUUU